GAGCAUAGUGCGGGGCCAACCCGGGGCAACUCAUGAGAUUUCUAUCAGGCCGCUGUACGUGUCGCUCAUCCGCCGUGUCCUGAGAAUGAGAUACACGGCUCCUAUCGGGAUCGACACACCGGGCGGCCUUGUUGGACUUGUUUUUACCUUUCUCGAGCGUCUUGUGCGAAGGAUUCCGGGGAUAUUUUAGACUAUCUCGAGGUUGAGGAUUUUUAAAUAAGAACC
rnacentral:lncRNA from 1 species